CAAAGCGUAUAUUAAAGUUGUUGCAGUUAAAAGCUCGUAGUUGGAUCUCGGGUCCAGGCUUGUGGUCCGCCUUGUGCGGUUACGACUCGUCCUGACCUACCUCCACGGUUUUCCCUUGGUGCUCUUGACUGAGUGUCUCGGGUGGCCGGAACGUUUACUUUGAAAAAUUAGAGUGUUCAAAGCAGGCAAUUCGCCUGAAUAAUGGUGCAUGGAAUAAUGGAAUAGGACCUCGGUUCUAUUUUGCUGGUUUUUGUGGAGCUCGAGGUAAUGAUUGAGAGGGACUGACGGGGCAGUUCGUAUUACGGUGUUAGAGGUGAAAUUCUUGGAUCGCCGUAAGACGAACUACUGCGAAGGCAUUUGCCAAGAAUGUUUUCAUUAGUCAAGAACGAUAGUCAGAGGUUCGAAGACGAUCAGAU
rnacentral:rRNA from 1 species